GGCCAGGUAGCUCAGUUGGUAGAGCAGCGGACUGAAAAUCCGCGUGUCGGUGGUUCAAUUCCACCCCUGGCCACCA
rnacentral:tRNA from 2 species